CAGCAGCCGCGGUAAUACGUAGGUGGCAAGCGUUGUCCGGAAUUAUUGGGCGUAAAGGGCUCGCAGGCGGUUUCUUAAGUCUGAUGUGAAAGCCCCCGGCUCAACCGGGGAGGGUCAUUGGAAACUGGGAAACUUGAGUGCAGAAGAGGAGAGUGGAAUUCCACGUGUAGCGGUGGAAUGCGUAGAGAUGUGGAGGAACACCAGUGGCGAAGGCGACUCUCUGGUCUGUAACUGACGCUGAGGAGCGAAAGCGUGGGGAGCGAACAGGAUUAGAUACCCGCGUAGUCCCUGUCUCUUAUAC
rnacentral:rRNA from 1 species